rnacentral:lncRNA from 1 species
GAGGAUAGAGGUGGGAGAGUUAUGAUGGAGAGAGAAAGUGAAAGUGAUGGGAGGAGAGAUAGGUGAAAGUGAUCUUUUUUUGAGCGGGAAAAAUUAAUUUGAGAUGAAAUCUGAGCCGUUGGAUCAACUCAAAUUGAUUUUAAAACCGUAGAUACGAGAGAUGAUUUUGGAUUCAAAUGUAGUUGUAAUUUGUAUUAUAGAUUGUUUAUGUAGUUCCUAAAUUAUUGAUUAUAUAUAUGUCAUCUCUCAACUAUUAUUUUUAUUCAAUUUGAUAUAAAUGUAGAUUUUCGUCCAAAUCAUGGAUGACCGACCGGCUACUCGUGUACUAUUAGGGGUAGAACUUAUAUUUUUACUAAGUUGGAGGGAAAUUUUUCACAAAAAAUGUGUAUGUAUACUCUUUUUAGAUCUACAUUAAACGAAACCUCCCUAAAUUUGAUUAAAAAUUUUGAGUCGUAAUCAAAUAAAUUUGAAGUCUCUAACUCUGAAUUUAGCUGAUUGUUCGUUGGAUGGAUUAAUUCUAUCCUCCAAUAUACAAAUUAGGUGAGGCACAUGUGAUUAUAUUAUGAACAGUCGUAAUUAUCCCUUAAUUAUACCAACAUGGUCGGUUCUAUUCUGAAACUGUGUUGGUAAUCGUUUUUCCGUCCAUGAUUUGGAGGGAACUUUAUUGUUAGACCAAAUUGACAAAUAUUGAAUAGUUGAAGGAUGACAUAGACACAAUCAAUAGUUUAGGAACGACAUAAAUAAUUUGGCUAGAGUUCAGGAUGUCAAAGUAAAUAUACCCAACCUUGAUACAACCGAUCGACAAUGUGGCCAACGCUGAUUGGUAGGGCUGUGUAAAUAUCCGCCAACCAGCACGACCCGAUCCGAUUCAUCCCGAACCCGAUCAAACUCGCUCACUCUACAGAUGAAUAACAGGUGAAAUUUAACUAACCCGACCACAUUCGGUUCGGGGGUCGGGCCAUUAAAUCAUCUAAUCCGACCGCCCAACCCGAUAAAAUAUUACACUAAAAUCUAUAAUCUUUAUCCAAACCGACCCUAACCCGACCAAAUUUCACCCAAUCCGAUCCGAACAUUUCUUGGAUCGGAUUCGGGCCUAAAAUUUUUCAAUCCGAUCAUUUCGAUUUGGGUAUCGGAUGACCUCCAAACCUGACCCGACCGGCCCGUAAAUAGCCCUAAUGAUUGGUGUCACGGAAACUUUACUAAUCUAACGAGGGUGAAUCGUACGGCCUUUAUUGUUCCACGUGUUUUGUCAUCUUUAUGUUUGGCUAGAGGCGACUUGUGCGGCGUGUGUAUCCAAAAACUUGAGUGGGCCCGAUUUCAUUGAUGACGGGAUCAGAUAAAUCCUAGAAGAUUGUAAACUCGUGCAAGUUUAGUGCACUUUAAAGAAUAGUUUUAGGUUAAAUAUAUUAUCCUUUUAAUAAAAAUAAAGAAAUAAUAAUAAAAAAUCCUUUGCAAUAUCAAAGGGGAAAAAGCUUAAACUUCUCAACUCGUUGAGCUCGUUUAAUUAAUAAAUAAGUUAAAUUUAAAUUUUAAAAUUAAUUUUAUUUCACAAACGAGGUGAGAUCAGCUUGAUUAAGCUCAGCUCAAAUAUAUUUUUUAGGUAAGUACAAAAAUAUGUUUUUGUCUAGUAAACUAAUAAUUUCUUCAAAUUUUAUUAUUAAAAUGCUAACCACAUUAAUAAAUAUAAUAAAAUAAUAAAUAAAGAAUAAUUUUUAAAGAGUGAGAAACUGCAUACUUCACUACUAGUCGUAAACUCGUGCAAUAUAUACGCAGGAUUUAGAAAAGAAAAGAAAAUUUUACAUAUGGAGGGGAUGUAGCUGAUCAAAUUUCAAUUGAAAUAAGUUAUUUAUAAACAUUUCAAAACUUGGUUUAUUAGUAGCUUGUUCAAGUUCUUUUGAUUAAUAAAUAAGUAAAACUCAAGCAUUUGUAUUAAUCUCAGUUAAUAAAAUGAGGCAAGCUCAAGUUAAGUGAGAUUGACUCGAUUAAGCUCCGCUCAAAACUGUUUAUAAAUAAAAAUAUUAUUUUUGUCUAAUAAAACUUAACUUCUUCAAAUUUUAUUGCUGAAUUAUUAGCCACCUUACAGGGUAAAUCUUCAUACUUCACUAUAUAUUAGAUUUUGUAAUUAUUUAGAGUUUUAUUUGUAUUCCCUGUAUGGAGUAUGAAUAUAUAAUUUAUUUAACUCAUUAAGGUUCGUGAACUAGCUCAAACUCAAUGCAAGUCUAAACCAACUUGGCUUAGUUCGAUUCGUUAAAUUUUUAUUGAACUCAAGGUUGAUCUUGGACCUGUUAAAAACUUAACAAAUAAAUCUAAACAGACUAAAGGCGAACUUGGCUCAUUUGCAAUCUAAGUAGCUGAUGGAGAUUGAAGCCCCACUAUGAUUCAUAGACAAUCUUGACGUUUUUAGGUCGUUAUAGUGACUUAUGAGGGCUCGUUUUGGUCUAUUUUUAUGAUAUAAUCUUUUAUUUAAUACAAUUCAAUGAGUUGAGCAGAUUAUUUAUAUAAAAAAAUUAAAUUGAUCGGACAUUAAUAGGCAUAUGGUUAGAAUCCAAAAAAUGAAUGACAAUUAUAUGAUUACGACAAUAAACUAUAAAAUAAGUGUAAUUUGAUUAUGUGACUUACUAAUGUUUGAUUUACUUGAAUUUUUUUAUUUAUUUGCUUAGAAAGCUAUAUAAGAUGGACGAUUCGAGAAAAUGAUAAUCUCAUUAAGAGGGCAGUACAAGGGUAUAUCCAAUCUUUUUUAAUUCAUCGGUAAAAAAUAAGUAGUUAUGUCCCAAUACCAUUAAAUUAAUAAAAUAAAAUUAUUAAAAAAUAAUAAAAUAAUUUAUAAUAUAAGAUACAAAUAUUUUUAAAUCCUCCAAACUAUCUCUCACUAUAUACGGUUGGAAUCCAUUUGAGUUAAUCUAAUGACUGAGAUUUCACCUUAAAUUAUUUUUUUUUCCAAAAAAAUAGCACUUCAUUAUUUUCAAAGGUGUAGAGCUCACAUAUGUUGUGAUCUAAUGGCUAAAAAAUAUUUAAAGUUGAGAAUUUUUUUGGAAAUUUAUUUCUACACUCAAUUUUUGAGGGAAUCAUUUUUUUGAGUGUAAAAAUUAUUUUCCAUUUUUUUAACUCAUUGAGUCAUUUUUUAGUGGGACCUACAAAAAAAAAUAAAAAUCAUUUUUUUAUUUCUCCCAAACUAGCAACAUUUUUUCAAAAUCAUUAUACUUUCUAAUUUGUUCUUCAUUUUGUAGUAAUGUAUCUCUUAUCAGACGUUUAAAUCUUAUCUGUUUUUUAAGUCAAAAAACUCUAAUGAGUACGCUAAAAAGUAGUCUCUUUUUGGGAGAGACGUAAUAUCUGUGGACACGGACAAUUACUUGUACUAUAACAAGCCAUAAUUUAACUAUGACAUUGUUAAAAUAACACAAAUCAGUAAAGUAACUUUCGCUUAAUAUUUUGAACAAAUUCUUUAAAUGACAAAAUAUAUAUAUAUAUAUCUAUAAUAUAGAUAUAAUAUUUCAUUCUCAUUUCAUCGAAACUAUUGACAAUGACAUGAUGUUAUGCAUUCAUCAUGUUCUUUUAGAAGUAAAAUAUAGUUUGGGACGUUAAAGUUAUAGAGUUUGGUUGAUUUGUGGAAAGAAACAAAUUUAAGAAAAACAAGGAAACAUUAAUUUUCCUUGUCUCUUGUUUUUUUUGGAACUCGAUAGAGUUAGAGGUGAAAGUGGCUGACAAUUUAGUUAACAAUAAUGGUACAAUGAUUACAUUUAUACAUUAUAUUUAAAUAUCAUUUGCUGUGAUAUCUUAUAAAAUCUAAUCGCAUAUGUUAUGUAGUACCGGUAAAUAACUUUUCAAAAGAAAUUAAAGUAUGUUUAAUAUGCGACUGUGAGUCAUGUUAAAGACAACUUCUUUAAUUGCCCGCAACAAUCAUAAUAGUUUGUUGCUAAAUUUAAAUAGCAACAUAUCUUUCGGAUGCAAUAAGAUAAUUAGGACCGGUAUGUCUAUGAUCUCGAUUAUCGGCCUCAAGAACUUUCUACAAAAUUGUGUGUAACACUUGCGAGGAAAUGAGAGAUUUUGACAACAUUCCAAGGCUGAAAAAUUCAUUGUCUAUUUAUAUAGAAUUAAGAGUCACCAAAAGUACGAUUUCAUCAAAAUUUCAUACUAUUUCGUAAAAGCACAUGAAAAAAAUUUAAAAAGAACAGUCUUUUUUCUUCAAUGGCAAUCAGGGAAAAUACACUUUUUAAAAUGGAAGUGUAUCUAUAUAUGUAUUUUAUGUAUGUUGAUGUAAGAAUCUUGGGGUUGUGGGUGAAGAAGAAAAGAAAAUAAAUCGAAGAUAAACACAUGCAGUGGCUAGUCAGCGGAUGACGGUGACAGAAGUUUGCUUACCAGACCUGCAAAACAAGAACAAUGAGAAAGACCAUCGGAGCUGUCCCGUGACGGCUCUCCGACGGUCAAGUUAGUGACCGCAAAUGCGUGUAGAGAGAGAAAUAAUUUAUAUCGUAAAUGAGCUAAUUUUGCAUACAUUUGAGAGAUAAAAAAAAGGGACUUGCCCUUUUAUAGUAUUGUUUGGCGCAUGCCUGAACGCGUCAGUUGACAUGUCAAUGAUUAGACAGUUGACCUUAUCAUGCCCCUAAGACAUGGCUAGUACCUAGUCUAUCACAUAAUUGACGUCUGGAUCCAGUCUUGCAGGUGGUAGGCAAGUUACCGUAUGACCUUGACGUGUCAUUGUGAUCGUUGUACGUCAAGCUCUAGUGCAGAGAUCCCACUAAUCUUGCUAUAAAGCGAUAGUUCGAAGGUAGUACUUACCCUAAUUCGAUCGAAAUUGAUACUUAAUAUUUUAUCUUUCUCACAGUAUGCUUACCUAUUCUCGAGGAGAGUGGUGUUGGUGAUUUGUGACCGUUGUAUUGUUGUGGUUCGAUAGCAGGGGAUACAAUUUAGAAGUUUGAAGAUGGGGGAGAAGUGGCUGGGAGUGAUGGUGGUAAAGGUGAUGGAAGAAUUUACGGAUUAGGAGGGGACAGAAGGGCGUGUUUGGGCCUGGGAUAGUUGGUGUACUCGGGUUAAACUGAAAGCAAAACUCAUUGGAUAUUAUUGGAAAGCAUGUUGGGCCUAAAGUAAAAAAAAUUAGAAACUUCAUUGAGUCGGAUUAUAGAGAUGGUAAUUGGACGAAAUUUAUACAGAUAUCUCAAAUUAUAUCCCCGCUCUCACUAUCAAUAUGCAUUCUCAUUCCAUCCUCGAUCUCCGGUGAGAUCAAAUUGAUCACCCUAUUCUCAUCUCUUGCGGGAGACUAAUAAAUUAUUUAUUUUAAAAUAAUAAACAAUGAAUAAAUUUUACUUAAUUAAUAUUAAAAAUAUAACAUUUAAAGUUAUUAGGAAUUAAAAGUUAAGGCCAUAAAAAAUAAAACAAAAAGGCAACUAUACAAAUUGAUUGUAAAAAAUAUAUAUAGUUGUUUAUGUCCUUUUAAGUCUUUAUAUAUAUACAAGACAAGACACUAAAUAAAAAAAAUAAAAAAACCCAGUUGAUUAUUCUGUACAUAUUUGAGAUUUAUUAUUAUAAAAUAAUAUAAAAUAUAAAUUAAAUAAUAUAAAAAAUUAUAAAAAAAUAUAUAUUACCCUAAUGAGCCAGAGUUGGGACGUACAUCUAAACAGAGACUUGCAAAAACAUCAUUGCCCUAUCAUUUUUUUCCCAUCUCCACUCUCCUCAUGAAAAUAUGAGGUUGUUUGCCUCGAUCGGGAUAGAGGCAGAGCAAAUCAGAGUUAUUGUCAUAUCUACGAGUCAGCAACCAAUAUAGAUUAGACCAUAACUUUUUGCUUGGUUUCACUCAUAUAGAGUUUUUAACUAAAAUUCAUUACAAAACAAAAAUAUCUUAAUCAUCCUUUAUGUCAUUCUUCACCUAUAGAAGCUUAUAUUGAAUAUUAAAUAUUAUUAUUAAAAAAAAACUAUUUUUUUUAUCAAAACAAGUUAGAUUUAUUAUCUUGUUAAAAAAGAUAUAAAAUAAAUUAACUUUAAGACCUUUUAAUAAUAAUAAAAUCUCAAAAUGUAAUACAUGUAAUUAGCAAAAGACUAUAUACAUCUAAAUUAAAAGUUUAAGAAUAAAUUAGACACAAUUGGUAGUUUAGGGGGUAAAGUAAAAAGAAUUGAAUAGUUAAAGGGAUAAAAGGGAUAAAAACCCAGCUUAGGCCAGAGAGCCAAUAGCAUUGCGACGCGUAAGUCCGGACGAGUCCGGGACAUGACGACUCGUGUACCAGAUGACUCGCACAAGAGACGGGACUUUCACUGAAUCCCUACUAUCGUUUCUGGACCUCGAUCGAACGGCGAAGAGACGAUAGCUUGUAUCCAAACCACCGAAGCUUGGCCAUGGCCAUCGAUACUGUUCCUCCUCUCAUCGCCGCACAGCUCAAUUACCUCCUCUCUCACUCCCCUCUCCCCAUCAAGGUCAGUCUCCACAAACUAGGGUUUCAUUCUCAUUUCACUGAAGAGUUACGAAGAGGGGGAAAACAGAGAGGGACGGAUGUCACCUCUUUCAUCUUUUCGUAUUCCGUCUUUCUUAUUCCUCAUUUUUUCCUCGACUUUCUUCCCCUUAUAAUCCUUUCAGCUAUUCUCUCCUCGUACCUUUCCGCUCCCUCCUUCCGUCUCCCCCCCCUCGCCUUUGCCUCCUUGGCAACAGUUCGAUCUCCUGCACUCUGUACAAUUCUCCCUCCCCUCUCGUUCCUCCCCAUUCCUUUAGUGCCUUGCCGUUUCAUUUGAGCCCGCCAGUCUUCUCCCUAUCCAUGCUGCACAAUUCACUCCCCCCUCUCCCCUUCUCCCUCGUUCUUCUUCCUCUCUUUCUAUUCUUUCUUCCUCGCCCUGUUUAAUUUGUGUCCCCCGUAGCACCCUCCUUUAUUUCCACUAUCACACCCCUUCUUCUCUUGCAGCCUGUCUUUUUCAUCUGCUGUGUUUCUUCCCCUCUCUGCAGCUUUUCCCUGCUCUUGCUAUGGCUCCUAUUCAGUAUUUGCGUUGUAGACUUCUUCCUCUCAUUUUCUUUUCCCUUUUGCCUUGUAUUUUCUUCAUUUCCUUCUUUUCCUUCGUUUCUCCUCCACGCUUUUACCUCACCAUUCUUAUGCCCUACACGUUUAUCCCCUUCUUCCCCGUGUUCUUCUCCCAUUUCCGUCUUCCUCCUCCCUGUUUUUCACUUCCUCCUCAAUCUUCUCUCUCUGACCUCCCUCCUUCUUUAUGUGCUUGAUAUCUCCUCCUUUAUUCCAUUCCUAACCUCCACCCUGUUAUUCCCCCCAUAUCUUACCUCGUCUUGUCCUGGGCUUUACUUUUCUCCCCACUCCGGCUACCUUCUUCCUCUGUCCAGAUUCUCCUCUUUGUUCUUUAUCUACUGCUUUAUCCGUUUCCAUCCACUUCCUCUGUCUCCCUCAUUUCAUCUCUUUCCCUCCUUUUUCAUUCCAAUUCGGUUUGUUCACGUGUUGUACAACGUUUUUAAGCUCUUCUUCUUUUCUUUUCCUUCCUCCACCUGUUCCUAACCCUUAACUAUUUUUACUUCUAUUA